rnacentral:tRNA from 1 species
GGCUCGUUGGUCUAGGGGUAUGAUUCUCGCUUAGGGUGCGAGAUUCCCCGGGUUCAAAUCCUGGACGAGCCC